rnacentral:misc_RNA from 1 species
GAUGAAGAACGUAGCGAAAUGCGAUAAGUAGUGUGAAUUGCAGAAUUCAGUGAAUCAUCGAAUCUUUGAACGCACAUUGCGCCUCCUGGUAUUCCGGGAGGCAUGCCUGUUCGAGCGUCAUUAAAAUCACUCAAGCUUAGGUUUACCUAUUGCUUGGUCUUGGAGAUGGAAGCCAAUUUAUUGGAAUCCUCUUCGAAAUUCAAUGGCGAAGACCCUUGCUCUCCCAAGUGUAGUAAUAACUUAUGUCACUGAAGGAAGCGAGAAAUCUUCUGACGUAACCCCCAUAUUUUCUAUGAUUGACCUCGGAUCAGGUAGGGAUACCCGCUGAACUUAAGCAUAUCAAUAAGCGGAGGA